rnacentral:rRNA from 1 species
CGUAGGGUGCGAGCGUUGUCCGGAAUUAUUGGGCGUAAAGAGCUUGUAGGUGGUUUGUCGCGUCUGCUGUGAAAAUCCGGGGCUCAACCCCGGACUUGCAGUGGGUACGGGCAGACUAGAGUGUGGUAGGGGAGACUGGGAAUUCCUGGUGUAGCGGUGGAAUGCGCAGAUAUCAGGAGGAACACCGAUGGCGAAGGCAGGUCUCUGGGCCAUUACUGACACUGAGAAGCGAAAGCAUGGGGAGCGAACAGGAUUAGAUACCCUGGUAGUCCAUGCCGUAAACGUUGGGAACUAGGUGUGGGUCUCAUUCCACGAGAUCCGUGCCGCAGCUAACGCAUUAAGUUCCCCGCCUGGGGAGUACGGCCGCAAGGCUA